rnacentral:rRNA from 1 species
AGAGGCCCCAAGCGUUACUGAGAAUCACUGGGUUUAAAGGGUGCGUAGGUGGUCCGUUAAGUUCGUUGUGAAAGCCCUGGGCUCAACCCAGGAACUGCUUCGAAUACUGGCGGACUUGAGGCUAGUAGGGGUUACUGGAACUGACGGUGGAGCGGUGAAAUGCGUAGAUAUCGUCAGGAACGCCAAUGGUGAAGACAGGUAACUGGGCUAGUUCUGACACUGAGGCACGAAAGCGUGGGGAGCGAACGGGAUUAGAUACCCCGGUAGUCCACGCCCUAAACGAUGCAGACUAGACUGCAGCGGGUUACACCCCGUUGCGGUCGGAGCGAAAUUGUUAAGUCUGCCACCUGGGAAGUACGGUCGCAAGGCUA